CGUGAUGUAGCAUUAUGGUAAUGCACCACUCUCACAAGGUGUAAAAAGUGGGUUCAAUUCCCACCAUCACGA
rnacentral:tRNA from 1 species